AGAUCUGAAUAACCAGCGUUGUCUUGACAGCUGCUUCCUAUUUUAGUCAUCUUCAGCUCUUUGUCAGUAGUGCUGGAGCAGUAGAGUGUCAGUCCUGUUGUAACAGAAACACCCAGCAGCAACACAGAUACAACACAACACACAGGAGUGUUGUGUCAGCAGAGAGGAGACCUGAGGCUGUGUGGUGGGGCCAUCCAUGUUGCCGUCCUCCCACUAUCACUCCCUCCACCCUAUCCUCCUCUCCUCUUCCUCCUCUUCCUCCGCCUGCUGCAGAGAGCGUCCCAGCUCCCACUCUCCUCUCUCCCCACCUGCCGUCCUGCAUCUCUGAGUCCCUCUUCCCCACACAACAACCCCACAGCACUCCUCGCCCC